rnacentral:misc_RNA from 1 species
GAUGAAGAACGUAGCGAAAUGCGAUAAGUAAUGCGAAUUGCAGAAUUCCAGUGAGUCAUCGAAUCUUUGAACGCACAUUGCGCCCGCCAGUAUUCUGGCGGGCAUGCCUGUCCGAGCGUCAUUUCAACCAUCAAGCCCCCGGGCUUGUGUUGGGGACCUGCGGCUGCCCGCAGGCCCUGAAAACCAGUGGCGGGCUCGCUGUCACACCGAGCGUAGUAGCAAUCACCUCGCUCAGGGCGUGCUGCGGGUUCCGGCCGUUAAACAGCCUUACAAACCCCAAGGUUGACCUCGGAUCAGGUAGGAAGACCCGCUGAACUCAAGCAUAUCAAUAAGCGGAGGA